ensembl:lncRNA
AAUAACAACAAUUCUUUCUGCUAAGUCUCAAUCAAUAUCACUGCUGUAGCAUUGCAGAAGAUGGAAAACUCAGGCUCACAAACUCCAGGAUAUUUGGGAUCUGCUCCAGCUCCUGUUAAGACAGCUCAGAAGCCAAGAGACAGCAUGGAAAAGGACAGAUCAUGGAAAACACCCAAAGACCUCUUCACAUGUGUUUGAGCUCUUGCACAGUCAACAUUUUAUUGGCUUCAAAUUGGGAUAGCAUCCCAGGAGGUUAUCACUGGAUGAAAAAGCAAUCUCAGACUGUGAAGGUAGGGAGGUUCUCUGUUCUCUCAGGAAAGACAAAGCAUGGCUAAUGUUGGAAGAUGGUGAGAGUACUUUUUGUUCAGACACUGGAACUUCUCUGCAGGGCCACUCUGGGCUGUGAACAUGCCUUUGUGGAGAGUCCUUCCAGCCAGGAAUACAGCAAAAUGUGGUGGAGAGACCAUAUUCCACCGUACAAGGAAUCCUGCUGGAAAGCCACAGCAUCUGAAAUCAGGAGACUUUUCCAAAAAAAAGCUUUUUGCAACUGUCAUGUCUUUGGCCCAUCUGCUUUGCCCAUCGUGAUAAGCAAUUUAUCCAUGAUCUUGCCUUACUCAUAUCCCUGGAAAAAAUUGCUGCUCUGUGCAGAGAGAUCAGUUUCUCUUUCAAGUUUCAGCAUGAAGUGCAAGGCUGUAAGCAGCAAUAUUGGGUACUCUGACUCAUUCCCUUGGAAGGCUAUUUUUAUGAUUGUUCAUGGAACUAUAUCUUAAAACUCCUGGGCCACGUUCUUAAAUCACUUUCACAGCUUUCUGCCGAGCCGUCCCAGCGCAGCGGUUCUCUCCUCUGAGGUUACAGCCUCUCCAAGGGCUGGAACUGCCCUCCCUCUGCAGCCUGGGAACCCAAAAUGUUGGCUGAGGACCUCCUUCCUUCUCCUCACCUCGGUAAGUGGCUACAAGUCAGUGCCGUUUAAAAUUUAAUCAGUCUCGUCAUAACAGGACACAGUUCUUGGAUUUUAACCCAUCUUCUACACAAACCACUAAAUUCAGCCACACUAACUGCCUUCUGACAGAACCUUUAUCUCAAGAACCUCUUAAUGAGCUCUCAUUAGCACAAAUUGGCCCUGAAUAUCUCACCACUUCCUAUCUCCUGCUUUCUCUGCAAUCCAUUAGCAUCUGUUAGCAGCCUCGUUUGAACAAUUAAACUUUACGGUUUCUAGAAACACACAAGAAACACCAGGUUCUACUGUUAGACCUGUGACUUUGAGAGACCUGGGAAGGGAUUCACACGGCCCAGCUUAACAGAGCCCAAAUUCUACCUGCACUUCAUUAUUCUCAGAGAAAGAUUUAACAUAAGUUGUUGAUGUCACUGGUGACUCUGCCAGUCUCUGGAUCACUCUCUUGGAGGUCCCCUGGAAAAGCACAAAAACUCAAUGUCUGGUGUAAAACAGGCAGAAUCUUCAUCCUUUCCUCACAGCCCAGGGUUACGUUUCUUUGGCUGAUCUCUGCACACAACUUUGCCUUCUCCUCAGAGCUGAUUUGCCACAGCUUUUUGUUGUCCUUGUUUAUGUCCACCUUGAAUGGCUCAAACUGCCCUAAUCAGCUGGAUUUUCACAGUCAUGAGAUAACAAAUUCUUAUUAACUGUGUUUCAACCACCAGCAGGCAAAGUCAAGCUCUAAGCCAUUACAAUGGGUCCUGAAAGUGUGCUCGUGGAUUAAAGGCUUGAGGGGCCCUGGAAGAUGCUGAUCCCUGGCAGAGGAUAUGGACUCCAUC